rnacentral:rRNA from 1 species
AACGAACGCUGGCGGCGCGUCUUAAGCAUGCAAGUCGAGCGGCAAGGGGGAGCAAUCCCCCCUAGAGCGGCGGACUGGUGAGUAACACGUGGGUGAUCUACCCUUGGGAUGGGGAUAGCCCGUGGAAACACGGGGUAAUACCGAAUACGUUGGCGGGGCUGCGGCUCCGUCAGGAAAGGCCCGUUUGGGCCGCCCGAGGAUGAGCCUGCGGCUGAUUAGCUUGUUGGCGGGGUAAUGGCCCACCAAGGCGAUGAUCAGUAGCCGGCCUGAGAGGGUGAACGGCCACAUUGGGACUGAGAUACGGCCCAAACUCCUACGGGAGGCAGCAGCUAAGAAUAUUCCGCAAUGGGCGAAAGCCUGACGGAGCGACGCCGCGUGGAUGAGGAAGGCCGAAAGGUUGUAAAAUCCUUUUGCUGGGGAAGAAUAAGCGUGACAGGAAAUGGUCGCGCGAUGACAUGAACCGGCGAAUAAGCCCCGGCAAACUACGUGCCAGCCGCCGCGGUAAUAC